rnacentral:rRNA from 1 species
GCACGGGUGAGUAAUAUAUAGAUAAUGUGCCCCUUAGUCUGGGAUAGCCACUGGAAACGGUGAUUAAUACCGGAUACUCCUUCUAGCCUCAAGGUUAGUCGGGAAAGUUUUUCGCUAAGGGAUCGGUCUAUAUCCCAUCAGUUUGUUGGUGAGGUAAUGGCUCACCAAGGCAAUGACGGGUAGCGGGUUUGAGAGGAUGAUCCGCCACACUGGUACUGAGACACGGACCAGACUCC